CAGCAGUAGCCGCGGUAAUACAGAGGGUGCGAGCGUUAAUCGGAUUUACUGGGCGUAAAGCGUGCGUAGGCGGCUUCUUAAGUCGGAUGUGAAAUCCCUGAGCUUAACUUAGGAAUUGCAUUCGAUACUGGGAAGCUAGAGUAUGGGAGAGGAUGGUAGAAUUCCAGGUGUAGCGGUGAAAUGCGUAGAGAUCUGGAGGAAUACCGAUGGCGAAGGCAGCCAUCUGGCCUAAUACUGACGCUGAGGUACGAAAGCAUGGGGAGCAAACAGGAUUAGAUACCCCGGUAGUCCCUGUCUCUUAUAC
rnacentral:rRNA from 1 species